rnacentral:rRNA from 1 species
ACUCCUACGGGAGGCAGCAGUAGGGAAUCUUCCACAAUGGGCGCAAGCCUGAUGGAGCAACACCGCGUGAGUGAAGUAAGGGUUUCGGCUCGUAAAGCUCUGUUAGUUAAAGAAGAACACGUAUGAGAGUAACUGUUCAUACGUUGACGGUAUUUAACCAGAAAGUCACGGCUAACUACGUGCCAGCAGCCGCGGUAAUACGUAGGUGGCAAGCGUUAUCCGGUAUUUAUUGGGCGUAAAGAGAGUGCAGGUCGGUUUUCUAAGUCUGAUGUGAAAGCCUUCGGCUUAACCGGAGAAGUGCAUCGGAAACUGGAUAACUUGAGUGCAGAAGAGGGUAGUGGAACUCCAUGUGUAGCGGUGGAAUGCGUAGAUAUAUGGAAGAACACCGAGUGGCGAAGGCGGCUACCGUGGUCUGCAACGUGACGCUGAGACUCGAAACGCAUGGGUAGCGAACAGGAUUACGAUACCCCGUGGUAGGAUAGCG